CACACCCAAAAAGCCCCAAUUUCAGGAGAAGAUGAUCACGCCGAGAGCAAAGUUUUCAAAGAUGGCAGGAGAAGAUGAUCACGCCGAGACCAAAGUGUUCAAAAAUGGCAGCAAUAUUUCUUCAACAUUUGCUGCCACCAACCACCUCAACCUCUCUAUAAAUUGAGGUGAGUUCUGCAGAAGGAAGAAGUGCAGAAGUGCGAGAGGUGUGAGGUAAAACAAGAGAAAAUUUUAAAUUUCUUACUUGCAAGAGCUCAAGUGAGCUCCCUUCGCCGGGCCGUUUAUUCGCCGACCGGCCACUAGGCUCUGAACCGAGAACGUGUACUCGUUCCUCCAUCUUCAGGCUACCAAACCCAACAAUCGAAAGGCCGAAACCUUCUCUAUAUUUUCCCGACCAAAGGCCACAAUAUCCUUCGGAGGCCAACGUCGAAUUCCCGACUUAGCCACCGGCCAACUUACGGCCUUCGUUUCUCACUAUCCUUACGACGAAAAAGGAUCGAGAAACCACCGUUGUGUAGCCUGAUCUACCUCGCACGAGGAAGACUAAGUCGUAGACCUUCGCGGCUAAACACCAUAGCGGAACGACGACCAGAAAAACCCCCGGCGAACAACUUCCAUUAGUGCUCACUUGGACAAGGGUUCAAAUAAACAAAAGCGCCUGAGUAACCUAUCGCGCUAAGGAAAGAGAAUCAUUGUCUUAAGUAGCAAAACACUGCAAUCAGGUUGAGCUGAUGUGAUGAUGGUGUUGCAAUGAGCGGAGUCUCCAGGGUUGUUAAUAAAUAGUUAACCUGUCUAGAAUAUGUCUUCAUACAUAUGUCUAGCUACUUUCCGCUGCAAGAUGUUGUUGAUGUUAUAGUAUGUUAUGUCAUACUUUGAGUCUUAAGAGAAUGGUUUCAUAUGAUGUAUAACUUGAUUAAUGAUAUUAAUUAAGUUUUAUGCUGUCUUUCA